CGUGGGUAACCUGCCCAAGAGAUCGGGAUAACACCUGGAAACAGAUGCUAAUACCGGAUAACAACAGAUGAUGCCUAUCAACUGUUUAAAAGAUGGUUCUGCUAUCACUCUUGGAUGGACCUGCGGUGCAUUAGCUAGUUGGUAGGGUAACGGCCUACCAAGGCGAUGAUGCAUAGCCGAGUUGAGAGACUUAUCGGCCACAUUGGGACUGAGACACGGCCCAAACUCCUACGGGAGGCAGCAGCG
rnacentral:rRNA from 1 species